rnacentral:rRNA from 1 species
GAUGAACGCUGGCGGCGUGGAUAAGUCAUGCAAGUCGAACGCCCCGCAAGGGGAGUGGCAGACGAGGUAGUAAUACGCAGGUACGCACCCCAAAGUCGGGCACAGCUCGUCGAAAGACGGGGUAAUUCCCGAUGGUCCCGCGCACAAACUUUGUAAUUGUCUACAAAAGACGAUGCCAGAGUUUGCGUGCGGGUAAAGAUUUAUCGCUUUGGGAGCGGCCUGUGGCCUAUCAGCUAGUUGGUGAGGUAACGGCUCACCAAGGCUUUGACGGGUAGGGGGGGUGAGAGCCCGAUCCCCACCGAUGGAACUGAGAUACGGUCCAUACACCUACGGGUGGCUGCAGACGAGAAUAUUCGACAAUGGGCGCAAGCCUGAUCGAGCGACGCCGCGUGAUCGAUGAAGUCCUUCGGGAUGUAAAGAUCUUUUAUGAGGGAGGAAGUUUAUUGACGUUACCUCAAGAAUAAGGGGUUGCUAAACUCGUGC